CAAGGAAUUUUCCCCAAUGGGCGCAAGCCUGAGGGAGCAACGCCGCGUGCAGGACGACGGCCUUCGGGUUGUAAACUGCUUUUGCGUGGGACGAUAACGACGGUACCACGCGAAUCAGCCCCGGCUAACUCUGUGCCAGCAGCCGGGGUAAUACAGAGGGGGCAAGCGUUGUCCGGAUUUAUUGGGUUUAAAGGGUGCGUAGGUGGUUUGUUAAGUCAGUGGUGAAAGGCUACAGCUCAACUGUAGGAGUGCCAUUGAUACUGGUAGACUUGAGUUUGGUCGAGGUAGGCGGAAUUUAUGGUGUAGCGGUGAAAUGCAUAGAUACCAUAAAGAACACCGAUAGUGAAGACAGCUUACUAGGCCUGAACUGACACUGAGGCACGAAAGCGUGGGGAGCGAACAGGAUUAGAUACCCCCGUAGUCC
rnacentral:rRNA from 1 species